rnacentral:rRNA from 1 species
UGGGGAAUAUUGGACAAUGGGGGGAACCCUGAUCCAGCCAUGCCGCGUGUGUGAAGAAGGCCUUAUGGUUGUAAAGCACUUUAAGCGAGGAGGAGGGUACUGGUAUUAAUACUACCAGGUACUGGACGUUACUCGCAGAAUAAGCACCGGCUAACUCUGUGCCAGCAGCCGCGGUAAUACAGAGGGUGCGAGCGUUAAUCGGAUUUACUGGGCGUAAAGCGCGCGUAGGCGGCUAAUUAAGUCAAAUGUGAAAUCCCCGAGCUUAACUUGGGAAUUGCAUUCGAUACUGGUUAGCUAGAGUGUGGGAGAGGAUGGUAGAAUUCCAGGUGUAGCGGUGAAAUGCGUAGAGAUCUGGAGGAAUACCGAUGGCGAAGGCAGCCAUCUGGCCUAACACUGACGCUGAGGUGCGAAAGCAUGGGGAGCAAACAGG